rnacentral:rRNA from 1 species
CCAAUAGCGUAUAUUAAAGUUGUUGCAGUUAAAAAGCUCGUAGUUGAAUUUCGGGGUUAGUAGGUUGGUCAUGCCUCUGGUAUGUACUGGUCUCACUGAUUCCUCCUUCCUGAUGAACCGUAAUGCCAUUAAUUUGGUGUUGCGAGGAAUUUGGACUGUUACUUUGAAAAAAUUAGAGUGUUUAAAGCAAGCUAACGCUU